AUUGAACGCUGGCGGCAUGCUUUACACAUGCAAGUCGAACGGCAGCGCGGGCUUCGGCCUGGCGGCGAGUGGCGAACGGGUGAGUAAUACAUCGGAACGUGCCCAGUAGUGGGGGAUAGCUCGGCGAAAGCCGGAUUAAUACCGCAUACGACCUGAGGGUGAAAGCGGGGGAUCUUCGGACCUCGCGCUAUUGGAGCGGCCGAUGGCAGAUUAGCUAGUUGGUUGGUUAAAGGCCUACCAAGGCGACGAUCUGUAGCUGGUCUGAGAGGACGACCAGCCACAUUGGGACUGAGACACGGCCAAGACUCCUACGGGAGGCAGCAGUGGGGAAUUUUGGACAAUGGGCGAAAGCCUGAUCCAGCAAUGCCGCGUGUGUGAUGAAGGCCUUCGGGUUGUAAAGCACUUUUGGCGGGAACGAAAAGGACUGUGCCAAUACCACGGUUCGAUGACGGUACCCGCAGAAUAAGCACCGGCUAACUACGUG
rnacentral:rRNA from 1 species